rnacentral:rRNA from 1 species
GCUAACUCUGUGCCAGCAGCCGCGGUAAUACAGAGGGUGCAAGCGUUAAUCGGAAUUACUGGGCGUAAAGCGCGCGUAGGUGGUUUAGUAAGUUGGAUGUGAAAUCCCCGGGCUCAACCUGGGAAUUGCAUUCAAAACUGCUAGGCUAGAGUAUGGUAGAGGAAAGCGGAAUUCCAGGUGUAGCGGUGAAAUGCGUAGAUAUCUGGAGGAACAUCAGUGGCGAAGGCGGCUUUCUGGACUAAUACUGACACUGAGGUGCGAAAGCGUGGGGAGCAAACAGGAUUAGAUACCCUUGUAGUC